rnacentral:sRNA from 1 species
GCUGGGCGCAGUGGCGCGCACCCAUAAUCCCAGCACCUAGGGAGGCUGAGGCAGGAGCAUCACGAGUUCAAAGCCAGCCUUAGCAACAGUGAGGCACUAAGCAACUCAGUGAAGCACUAAGCAACUCAGUGAAACCCUGUCUCUA